AGAGUUUGAUCAUGGCUCAGAUUGAACGCUGGCGGCAGGCCUAACACAUGCAAGUCGAGCGGUAGCACAGAGAGCUUGCUCUCGGGUGACGAGCGGCGGACGGGUGAGUAAUGUCUGGGAAACUGCCUGAUGGAGGGGGAUAACUACUGGAAACGGUAGCUAAUACCGCAUAACGUCGCAAGACCAAAGUGGGGGACCUUCGGGCCUCAUGCCAUCAGAUGUGCCCAGAUGGGAUUAGCUAGUAGGUGGGGUAACGGCUCACCUAGGCGACGAUCCCUAGCUGGUCUGAGAGGAUGACCAGCCACACUGGAACUGAGACACGGUCCAGACUCCUACGGGAGGCAGCAGUGGGGAAUAUUGCACAAUGGGCGCAAGCCUGAUGCAGCCAUGCCGCGUGUGUGAAGAAGGCCUUCGGGUUGUAAAGCACUUUCAGCGGGGAGGAAGGCGUUAAGGUUAAUAACCUUGGCGAUUGACGUUACCCGCAGAAGAAGCACCGGCUAACUCCGUGCCAGCAGCCGCGGUAAUACGGAGGGUGCAAGCGUUAAUCGGAAUUACUGGGCGUAAAGCGCACGCAGGCGGUCUGUCAAGUCGGAUGUGAAAUCCCCGGGCUUAACCUGGGAACUGCAUUCGAAACUGGCAGGCUAGAGUCUUGUAGAGGGGGGUAGAAUUCCAGGUGUAGCGGUGAAAUGCGUAGAGAUCUGGAGGAAUACCGGUGGCGAAGGCGGCCCCCUGGACAAAGACUGACGCUCAGGUGCGAAAGCGUGGGGAGCAAACAGGAUUAGAUACCCUGGUAGUCCACGCCGUAAACGAUGUCGAUUUGGAGGUUGUGCCCUUGAGGCGUGGCUUCCGGAGCUAACGCGUUAAAUCGACCGCCUGGGGAGUACGGCCGCAAGGUUAAAACUCAAAUGAAUUGACGGGGGCCCGCACAAGCGGUGGAGCAUGUGGUUUAAUUCGAUGCAACGCGAAGAACCUUACCUGGUCUUGACAUCCACAGAACUUUCCAGAGAUGGAUUGGUGCCUUCGGGAACUGUGAGACAGGUGCUGCAUGGCUGUCGUCAGCUCGUGUUGUGAAAUGUUGGGUUAAGUCCCGCAACGAGCGCAACCCUUAUCCUUUGUUGCCAGCGGUCCGGCCGGGAACUCAAAGGAGACUGCCAGUGAUAAACUGGAGGAAGGUGGGGAUGACGUCAAGUCAUCAUGGCCCUUACGACCAGGGCUACACACGUGCUACAAUGGCAUAUACAAAGAGAAGCGACCUCGCGAGAGCAAGCGGACCUCAUAAAGUAUGUCGUAGUCCGGAUUGGAGUCUGCAACUCGACUCCAUGAAGUCGGAAUCGCUAGUAAUCAUAGAUCAGAAUGCUACGGUGAAUACGUUCCCGGGCCUUGUACACACCGCCCGUCACACCAUGGGAGUGGGUUGCAAAAGAAGUAGGUAGCUUAACCUUCGGGAGGGCGCUUACCACUUUGUGAUUCAUGACUGGGGUGAAGUCGUAACAAGGUAACCGUAGGGGAACCUGCGGUUGGAUCACCU
rnacentral:rRNA from 1 species